rnacentral:rRNA from 1 species
UACGAAGGGGGCUAGCGUUGCUCGGAAUGACUGGGCGUAAAGGGCGCGUAGGCGGCGCAUUUAGUCAGGCGUGAAAUUCCCGGGCUCAACCCGGGGACGGCGCUUGAUACGGGUGCGCUCGAGGACGGAAGAGGGUCGCGGAAUUCCCAGUGUAGAGGUGGAAUUCGUAGAUAUUGGGAAGAACACCGGUGGCGAAGGCGGCGACCUGGUCCGUUACUGACGCUGAGGCGCGACAGCGUGGGGAGCAAACAGG